rnacentral:misc_RNA from 1 species
UAGCAUUGCCUUUGCACAAUUUGCAUAUAUAAUACCCUUUUCCUCUGCAUACUCCACAAGGCAAUGCAUCCUUUCUCAGUUUGAGCUCAGUUGCAUAGCGAAAGCCUCCGAUAGCUAUAGAUGAGGAGGAAGUGAUAUUGGGGGCGGCCACACUACCCAAGAAAAUAGCAGCUCCAGUAGCCAGCGUGCGCAGCGGUUUUGGAAUCAUUUUUCGGGGUUGAGGUCCUCACAGGAUUUUCUUCGAACAGUAUGAGUGAAUGAAACAAAGAGCUCAACCUUCUAUACAAAUCUUGUGCCCUGCCUACCCACUAGUCAACGACUGCAGAGACUUUUAUAGUUUCCUUGUACGGGUAAAACACACUGUUUUCAGG